AUACGUAGGUGGCAAGCGUUGUCCGGAAUUAUUGGGCGUAAAGCGCAUGUAGGCGGUGCCUUAAGUCUGUCGUGAAACUGCGGGGCCUAACCCCGAAUGGCGAUGGAAACUGUGGCACUUGAGUGCAGGAGAGGAAAGGGGAACUCCCAGUGUAGCGGGGAAAUGCGUAGAUAUUGGGAAGAACACCGGUGGCGAAGGCGCCUUUCUGGACUGUGUCUGACGCUGAGAUGCGAAAGCCAGGGUAGCGAACGGGAUUAGAUACCCCGGUAGUCCUGGCCGUAAACGAUGGGUACUAGGUGUGGGAGGUAUCGACCCCUUCCGUGCCGGAGUUAACGCAAUAAGUACCCCGCCUGGGGAGUACGGCCGCAAGGCUUAAGCUCAAAGGAAUUGGCGGGG
rnacentral:rRNA from 1 species